rnacentral:rRNA from 1 species
GACGAACGCUGGCGGCGUGCUUAACACAUGCAAGUCGAGCGGUAAGGCCUUUCGGGGUACACGAGCGGCGAACGGGUGAGUAACACGUGGGUGAUCUGCCCUGCACUUCGGGAUAAGCCUGGGAAACUGGGUCUAAUACCGGAUAGGACCAUUGAUCGCAUGGUUGGUGGUGGAAAGUUUUUCGGUACGAGAUGGGCCCGCGGCCUAUCAGCUUGUUGGUGGGGUAAUGGCCUACCAAGGCGACGACGGGUAGCCGGCCUGAGAGGGCGACCGGCCACACUGGGACUGAGACACGGCCCAGACUCCUACGGGAGGCAGCAGUGGGGAAUAUUGCACAAUGGGCGCAAGCCUGAUGCAGCGACGCCGCGUGAGGGAUGACGGCCUUCGGGUUGUAAACCUCUUUCACCAGGGGCGAAUGUGACGGUACCUGGAGAAGAAGCACCGGCCAACUACGUGCCAGCCGCCGCCGUAACAC